GGCCUUUACUGACGCUAAAGCUCGAAGGUGCGGGUAUCGAACAGGAUUAGAUACCCUGGUAGUCCGCACGGUAAACGAUGGAUGCCCGCUGUUUGCGAUAUACAGUAAGCGGCCAAGAGAAAUCGUUAAGCAUCCCACCUGGGGAGUACGCCGGCAACGGUGAAACUCAAAGGAAUUGACGGGGGCCCGCACAAGCGGAGGAACAUGUGGUUUAAUUCGAUGAUACGCGAGGAACCUUACCCGGGCUUGAACUGCAGCGGAAGGAAACAGAGAUGUUGACGUCCUUCGGGACCGCUGUGGAGGUGCUGCAUGGUUGUCGUCAGCUCGUGCCGUGAGGUGUCGGCUUAAGUGCCAUAACGAGCGCAACCCUUUUCAUCAGUUGCCAUCAGGUGAUGCUGGGCACUCUGUUGAUACUGCCACCGUAAGGUGUGAGGAAGGUGGGGAUGACGUCAAAUCAGCACGGCCCUUACGUCCGGGGCUACACACGUGUUACAAUGGGGCAUACAGAAGGCAGGAUCAUGGCAACAUGUUUCAAAUCUUUAAAGUGCUCCUCAGUUCGGAUUGGGGUCUGCAACCCGACCCCAUGAAGCUGGAUUCGCUA
rnacentral:rRNA from 1 species